GGCAGUUUUAACGACUCACCAUUUAGUUGUCUGAAACGAUGUUCCAAGUAACGUAUUUGCCAACUCUCCUAAUUAUUGUGCUAUUUUUCCUAGCAGUGCCAUCAUAUACCGCAAAAAAGCUGGCAUUGCGUCUAGAUGGGUUACCUUGUACGGAUUUGGACCAGCAGUUCGAUCAGGAUGGAAACACUUGUUUUUGUUCUUCGUAUGGCAUCACCCUCUAUUGCCAGCCCGAAAUUGAAACCGUAUUGAAGUGAAUUAAUCGUGUACAAUUGUCCCUUCGUUCUAAGUCAUCUGAUGGUACACAAUUUCCUAGCCACGUGCUUACUCCCCCAAUAAUGUAAUUAAGAAUGUUUAAAAUUAAUCCUUAUGAAAUCCUUCGCGAAAUUUCUAGCAAAAAAACAUUCCCAUCAUAUACACACCGUAUCCAAUGUACUCUGAUACAUAUCCGAUGCACAAUUAUUUCACACUAGUCUAACUGAAAACAUUUUGAUAUUGUUUGAAAUAUAUACCACACUUUCCACAAUUUAUGUUAAGCGGUGCACUCAUAAUCAUAGCCAAAUUCAAUCUGGGACCAUGUUCUUGUAUUACUGUACAUAGUAGUUUGAUUAUCUAAUUUCAAAUCUUAAAAAUGUAAAGAAUUUUAAUAAUGUUUGAAAUCAACUCUAUUAAUACUAACGAACUAAUUAUUUCAACAAUUGAAAUGUCUAAGAUCAAUCUAUGAAAAUGUGAAACAUAAUUGCAUUGUAUAAAAAUAACAUUGAAAUGAACUAAAAUUAACUCUUAAAAGCAAAAAAAGAAGGUUUGUAUCAUCCCUUCCGUCGACUCACUAACAACCACGCCUAUGAUUCAUGAGCAAGCAGUUCCACAUUUAUUUCGCACACAUCCAUGUUGAAAAUAUGGCAAACAUAUAAUAAACCAUUCUGAUGCAGCGUCCCUAUCAA